GACGAACGCUGGCGGCGUGCUUAACACAUGCAAGUCGAACGGAAAGGCCCUGCUUUUGUGGGGUGCUCGAGUGGCGAACGGGUGAGUAACACGUGAGUAACCUGCCCUUGACUUUGGGAUAACUUCAGGAAACUGGGGCUAAUACCGGAUAGGAGCUCCUGCUGCAUGGUGGGGGUUGGAAAGUUUCGGCGGUUGGGGAUGGACUCGCGGCUUAUCAGCUUGUUGGUGGGGUAGUGGCUUACCAAGGCUUUGACGGGUAGCCGGCCUGAGAGGGUGACCGGCCACAUUGGGAAUGAGAGACGGCCCAGACUCCUACGGGAGGCAGCAGUGGGGAAUAUUGCACAAUGGGCGGAAGCCUGAUGCAGCAACGCCGCGUGCGGGAUGACGGCCUUCGGGUUGUAAACCGCUUUCGCCUGUGACGAAGCGUGAGUGACGGUAAUGGGUAAAGAAGCACCGGCUAACUACGUG
rnacentral:rRNA from 1 species